GGAAGUGAAUUUCUUAUCGAAUGGGUUUUUCAACCGAGUGACGAAUAGCUACGCGAAUAAUUAGUUUCAUUUUGUAGCAUUUCUGCGAAGAAAUAUGUACAUUAAUGUGAAUUCAGAGAUAAACUUAGAGAAUUUUCUUCAGUAAGUUCUUUACUUACAUCAGUCUUUCUCUGUACUUUGACGAAUAAACUGUGGUGACAAUAAGGCGAGGAAAUUUAAUUUGUGAGAAAUGUGCUAUAUGAGGAAUAUAAUUAUUCUUCUGUGCGUAUCUGCUGGUGCUUUGGGGCAAGACAUUGAAGAAACAAAUAUCCACUGCCAUGAUUUGGAGCGAUAUACACCAAUAAGGUACAAGUGCGAUGACGUGAUAUAUUGGUUUGAUCGAAAAAAGUUUGAAAAUCAUGAAUUUAGAGGACAAAACUGCCAUUCGUUGGACCUAAGUCACAACAAAUUGAAAGAAAUUAACACAAGCGAAUUUAAAUAUAAGACAUAUUCAGUGCUCAGUUUGGAGUUAAAUGAGUUAAAAUUUUUAGACGUCAGCUUUUUAAAUGUAACAUACUUUGAUGUUUUCAAUAACUCAAUUGAAAGUCUCGCAAUGGAAGGUUCUUGUCUGAAGUUAAAUGCUCAAAACAAUUUAAUUUCUGAUCUUAAUCUUGGAACUUCUGUUUUGUCACUUCAGGAGAUUAAUUUGAGUCACAAUAAAUUGGGAAAUCUUCAGGAUAUUUGCAAAUGUUUAAAUUUAAUUGAAUUAAAUUUAGACGACAAUUUAAUUGACAAUAUUGGUUCGUGCUUCUACCAACUGACAAAAUUGAAGAAAUUAAGUUUGCAGAGAAAUCGCAUUCAUAAGUUAUAUCACAAUGAUUUUAAUGCAGAGAAUAGUAUAAGACACCUUAAUUUGGCUUUUAACAAAUUGGUAACAUUUGAUGAGUAUGAAAUGUUCAUUUUCAGGAACAUCAGAUACUUAAAUUUGAAUGGAAAUAUGAUUUAUAAUAUAUCUCACAAUAUAUAUUCUAGGAUGAUGUCUUUACGCGAGAUCGGAUUGUCUUACAACAAAUUUCAAUGCAUCGAUCUAUAUAAGUUGCUAAAUAAUAUCCCAAAAAAUACAAAUUACUUAUUUAUCGACAAAAAAUUGUCAAUGAAGACACUGAAUAUUUAUGGAAUUCACUGCUACAUGAAUCUAAAAGAAUUGUCAAGAUAUAGACUAAAAGAUACAUUAGAAAAUCUAAAAACCGUUUCAAUAAGACAUACUUCACUAAACCGCAUUCUUAUAAUUAAAUGUUGUGGAAUGGCACUGGAUGUUACAACCUGUACCCACUUCUUUGACUCACUUCAUAAGUUUAAAAUUAAUUGUAAAAAUUCAACGUAUCUGGACUUAUCGUCUAACAUUAUUUCUUCAUAUGAUGUAAAUGCUUUUCACAGUUUCUCAAUACUAAAAGGAUUGAAUUUAUCUCACAAUAAUAUUUCAAGUUUAACAAAACCCCUAUUCAAACCUGGUCAAUAUAUUAAAGAAUUAGAUUUGUCAAAUAAUAAAAUUACAAAUAUAUCCGAAGAAGUUCUAAAAGAAGUUAACAUUAAAAAAAUUAUACUUCGCUCAAAUUUCCUUGAGACCUUUGAUACAAAUCUGUUUAAUAUACAGGAAUGUGAAUUGUUGGACUUAAGUUACAACAAAUUGAAAAAUUUUAGUUUUGAGAGUUUCUUGAAGAAAAACUUAACGCUAAAUUUGCAAUUCAACGAAUUGACGUAUUUACACGUAAACAAUUUAAAUAUAACAUUUCUUGAUGCUUCCAAUAACAAAAUUAAAAGCGUCGUUUUGGAUGGUUUUUGCCAGAAAUUUCACGCUCAAAAUAAUUUAAUUUCUGAAAUUUCUCUCGGCACUACUUUUUCAUCGCUUCUGGAGAUAAAUUUGAGUAAUAAUAAAUUGAAAAAUAAUAUUCAGGACAUUUGCAAAUGUUUAAAUUUAAUUGAAUUAAAUUUAGACGAAAAUAUGAUUGACAAUAUUGGUACAUGCUUCUAUCAAAUGACAAAAUUAGAGAAAUUAAGUUUACAAAGAAAUCACAUUCAUCAAUUCUAUCACGAUGAAUUUAGUGAAAUGAAUAGCAUUCAACACCUUAAUUUGGCUUUUAACAAAUUGGUAACAUUUGAUGAGUAUGAAAUGUUCAUUUUCAGAAGCAUCAGAUACUUAAACUUGAAUGGGAACAUGAUUGACAAUAUAUCUAACAAUAUAUAUUCCUCGAUGUUUGCUUUACGCGAAAUUGAAUUGUCUUACAAUAAAUUUAAAUGCAUCGAUCUGUAUAAGUUUUUUGACAUAAUCCCAAGAAAUAAAAAUUACAUAUUCAUUGAAAAAAUAACGCCAAUGAUAGGUCCGAAUAUUAAUGGAAUUGAUUGUAUACCAUAUUUUGAAAAGAAAUGCCAAGAUAUAGAUAAAAAAAUAUAUUUAAAAAACAAUUCAAUAAUAGUUUUAGGUCAUGACUACAAACAUAACAAAUCAUCCAGAAAUUCGUCUUCUUUUUAUGAGAUUUUCCAGGAGAGGAAUAACUAUGACCAAAGAUGAACCAUGAAACCAAAAUGUGAAAUCUUUUUAUGGAAUCUUUAAAUACGAACGCAAGUUAGAACGCAAAAAUGUAAGGAUGAGUGUAGUAUAACGCACGAAUAAACGUAAGAAAUUGCACCAUGAACGCAAUAGUUACAUACCCCUGGGUCAGAUCUGAAAAAAAGGAUGACUUUUAAAAUUGAGAAGGAUACAGCAUAAACGAAAAAAUCUAGACAAAAUAUUUUUCAAUCACAAAAUAUUUGGGAUUUUGUAGAUAAAACUAUGUGAAAUACCUCAGCUCCCACCAAAAAAGCUUAUGUGAAAUAAAUAAUUCUAGAAAAAAAAAUGUUAUUUGUAAUUUCUCUGAAAAACAUUCAGCCCUAAUCUUUUGCAGUUUCUUCUAAAGAAGUGUAUUCUUAUCAAGUCAGCAGCUCCACUCAAAUGACGAAUAUCGAGCUCUAAGUCUUGAUAUAAACAGCUUUGUGUGUUUUAUCGAAGAAAUGUGCACAAAAAUGUGUAUUCAGCGAUAAGUUUAAAGAAUUUACUUCCACGAGUAGAGAAAUAUUUAGUCAACAAUGUCAGUCUUUCUCUUAACUUUGACGAAAACACUUCAGUAACCAUCAGAAAGGAAAAUUAAUUUGUGAAAAAUGUGGCAUUUGAGGAAUGUGAUUAUUCUUCUGUGUUUUUCUGUGAGUGUUUUGGGACUUGAGAAAAUUAAUGUCCACUGUCAUGACUGGCAAAGAUUAAGAGAUGUAUAUAAAGGGAAUAGAUAUCAGACAGAGUACAAGUGCUCAAUAGUAAACUUCGAACUCCCAAAUGAUCGAGAAUAUUAUUUUGAUCGACAAGUAAUGAUAACUUCUUUGGAAAUUAAGGACUCAACGAUAAGCAACAUUCCAGGAGCAUUGCUAAAAAUCUUACCGGACUUAGAAACGUUUUUGGUGACAAAGACAACGUUAAAGAAUGUUAAUCAAAUUAAUUGCGAAGAAUUGAAGGAAUUGGACUUAUCAUCAAAUGCAAUUAUAUCUUUUGAUGAAAAUGCUUUCUACAAUUGCCAAAAUUUAAAAGCACUGAAUUUAUCUCACAAUGCUAUUCCAAGUUUAACAAAACCUCUCUUCAAGCCAGGUAAACAUAUCAAAAAACUGGAUUUGUCAAAUAAUAAAAUUACAGAAUUAUCCGGAGAUGUUCUAAAAGAAGUGGAGAUUGAAAAAUUAAUACUUCACUCAAAUCUCCUUGAAAAUUUCAAUAUGAAUCAAUUUAACGGACAAAGCUGUGAAUUGUUGAACAUUAGCUACAACAAUUUGAAAAGUUUCAACGUCUCUGGGGAUAUUUUGAAGAAAAAUCUAACGCUAAGUCUGCAAUUCAACAAACUAACGAAAUUAGACGUGAAAAACUUGAAUGUAAAAUUUCUCGAUGUUUUUAACAACAAAAUUGAAAGUCUCGCAAUGGAAGGUUCUUGUCAGAAGUUAAAUGCUCAAAAUAAUUUAAUUUCUGAUCUUACUCUUGGAACUUCUGUUUUGUCACUUCAGGAGAUUAAUUUGAGCCACAAUAAAUUGGGAAAUCUUCAGGAUAUUUGCAAAUGUACAAAUUUAAUUGAAUUAAAUUUAGACGACAACUUAAUUGACAAUAUUGGUUCGUGCUUCUACCAACUGACAAAAUUGAAGAAAUUAAGCUUGCGUAAAAACUACAUUUAUCACCUCUUUCACGAUGAAUUUAAUGAGAGGAAUAUUAUACAGCACCUGAAUUUGGCAUUCAAUCGUUUGGAAGCCUUUGAUGAAUCUGUAAUGUCAGUUUUUAAAAAUCUCCAAUACUUGGACUUGAGUGGAAAUCAAAUUUCUGAUAUAUCUGACAAUCUAAAUACCUGGAUGUCGAAUUUAAAUCAAAUUGGACUCUCUCAUAAUAAAUUUAAAUGCUCAAGACUAUUUAUGUUGAUGAAUAAAAUUAAAAGAAAUGGAAGACUAAAUAUAUUUAUUGAUAAAACUUUGCCAGUUAAUGCAACGAAUAUUGAUGGAAUUCAGUGCUAUCGCUACAGCGAAGGAGAACUGUUGAGAGAUUCAAAUGGUUCGGAUGUUGCUAGAGCAAAACUUGAUGAAAAAUUCACAUUCUUGUCACAAAAACUUAACAAUUUGGAAAGAAAAUUCAAUGAUUUCAAAGAUUUUAACGAAACAAUCCAAGAGUUGAGAAAUUCAAUAAAUCAAGCAGUGAAAAAUAAAGAUAUUUCAAACUCAAACAAUAAUCUAACUGCAAUUAUUGAAAAUCUAUCAGAAUCAAUAGAAAAGAAUUCAAAUUCAACCGACAAAAAGUUUGAAUAUUUGGAAAAUAUUGUCAAGAAUCAUUCAGAAAUGUUGGGUCGUUCUAUGAGUGAAAAUUAUCAUUCUAAUGAUAGAAUUAAUGAUGAAUUAUUAACAAACCCAAAAUACAUUUUGCAAUCUGAUAACUCAACUAAUGCUGCAAAUUAUAUAAUUAUUUUCUUACUGGCUGUUAUAGUUUUUAUUAAUUUGUUCGUCAUUCUCAAAAGAUUUGAUACAUUCGGUUUUCGCCGGAGAAAUGAAAGGGAAAAUGAAAGUGCUCUCACAAAUUUCUCAACAAUGUAAAACAAGAAAAGAAUUUUAAAUAGGUAUGUUCUAUACUAUGUUUUAUGCUAGAAGGUAAAAUUAAAAAGGAAAAACGAUUUUUUUUAGAUAGACCAUUGUACAUUAUUUUAGUGGAUGUAUUUUACUUUAAUAAUUUUAUUACGAUAAAAUAAAGAAGCUUUGUAUAAAAUAAAUAUAAAUCUUUAUGUGGUGUA